rnacentral:rRNA from 1 species
CCUACGUGUGGCAGCCGUGAGGCAUAUUGGUCAAUGGGCGCGAGCCUGAACCAGCCAAGUAGCGUGAAGGAUGACUGCCCUACGGGUUGUAAACUUCUUUUAUAAGGGAAUAAAGUGCGGCACGUGUGCCUUUUUGUAUGUACUUUAUGAAUAAGGAUCGGCUAAAUCCGUGCCAGCAGCCGCGGUAAUACGGAGGAUCCGAGCGUUAUCCGGAUUUAUUGGGUUUAAAGGGAGCGUAGGUGGGUUGUUAAGUUAGUUGUGAAAGUUUGCGGCUCAACCGUAAAAUUGCAAUUGAUACUGGCAGCCUUGAGUACAGUUGAGGUAGGCGGAAUUCGUGGUGUAGCGGUGAAAUGCUUAGAUAUCACGAAGAACUCCGAUUGCGAAGGCAGCUUACUAAACUGCCACUGACAUUGAUGCUCGAAAGUGUGGGUAUCAAACAGGAUUAGAUACCCGGGUAGUC